rnacentral:rRNA from 1 species
GACGAACCGUGCGAACGUUGUUCGGAAUCACUGGCUUAAAGGGCGCGUAGGCGGGUUUGCAAGUCUGCGGUGAAAGCCUCCAGCUUAACUGGAGAAGUGCCGUGGAUACUGCGGAUCUCGAGGAGGGUAGGGGCAUCUGGAACGGUCGGUGGAGCGGUGAAAUGCGUUGAUAUCGACCGGAACGCCAAAGGUGAAAACAGGUUGCUGGGGUUGUGCCGACGCUGAGACACGAAAGCCAGGGGAGCAAACGGG